rnacentral:lncRNA from 1 species
GGGGCCGUCUUCAUGAAUGGCCUUCCAAGUAGAAUGGGCAGCGAAGGAGCAUGGUCCGAUUCAUCCAUUUCAAGGACAUAGAAAUCCGCCGGGAAGACUAAAUGAUUAACCUGCACAAGAACAUCUUCCAAAACUCCCUUUGGAUAGGCGUUAGAUCUAUCGGCCAAUUGUAUUAUUACCCCAUCAUUUUUCAAUGCUCCUAAGUUCAUAGAUGCAUAAAUGGAAUAUGGCAUAACAUUUAUAGAAGCACCUAAAUCAAGCAUGGCAGAUUCAAAUCUAGUAUUCCCAAUAACACAAGGAAUGGUAAAGCUACCUGGAUCUUUACAUUUGGGAGGUAAUUUGCGUUGCAAAAUGGCAGACACAUUCUCACCUACCUUGACCACUUCCUUGGUCGACAUCCUCUUCCUCGUGGUACACAACUCCUUCAAGAACUUAGCAUACCUCGGAACUUGCUUGAUUGCAUCUAACAAAGGUAUGUUAACUUGAACUCUCCUAAAGGUUUCAAGGAUAUCCUUUUCUGCCUCUUCUUUCUUCGUUUGCAGGAACCUACUAGGAAAAGGCACAUUUGAAGGGAAAACAUUAGUAUGAACUGGAUUGGACACGUUCUUACCUUUGUGGGACGAAUUGGGCAGAUUUGGGACAUUAGGGACUUGCGGCAAAGGUGGAACCACCUUUGCCGUGGGCUGCUUUGAUGCCUCCUCUUCCAAUUCCAAAAGUUCAUCCUCAUUAUGACCUGUUUUUGGUGUAGAACCUGCCCCAACUUCCUUACCACUUCUUAGGGUGAUAGCUUUGGCACUUUCGAAACCUCCCUUCGGAUUUGGAAUGGUGGAACUAGGGAGUUGUCCGGGAUCUCGAAACUUACCUACAAACUCGGCAAUCUGCCCAAUUUGUUUCUCAAGUUGAUCCACCCUUUUAUCUUGGUUUUGCAUAGCCUUUGCUUGAUCUUCCUGCCCAUUAGACAACUUAGUUAGUAUCUUAAGAAGUGCAUCAUUGUCAAGAGACGUACCUGAGGCACUUGGGCCGGAUUGGGCUUGAUUUUGGGGUGGGCCGUAGGUUUUGGGAAAGAACCCCGGGGGUUGUUGCCUAAAGCCUCCUUGGUUCUGAGGUUGCUGAGGCUCCCUCCACUUGAAAUUUGGGUGAUCUCUCCAACCGGGAUUAUAUGUGUUUGAAUAUGGAUCGUUCCUUGGUUGGUUUUGCCCUUGAAACCCAAUUGCAUGAGCGCUUUCCCAUCCGCCAUUUUCAAUCAACUGUGGACAUUUUUCAGAGACAUGUCCUUGGAUGGAACAUACGCCACAUACAAUUGGUCCUUGCAUCUUCAUGCCUUCGGCCAUCUGAGACACAAGAGAAGUAAGAUUAGCCAAUUGUGAAUGAAGAUCAGGAGUUGAACUUACCUCAUGUACUUGGUGCCGUGGGGGUCCUCUUUGGCCUACACCCUCGUACUGUUGAGCGUUCAACGCUCUAUUAGCAAUCAAGACCUUGGCAGCCAUGGGUGUUUUGUCCACCAAUGCUCCCCCCGCCGAAGCAUCAAGCAUUUGACGUUCUAGAGGUAGGAGGCCCUCGUAGAAAUAUUGCAAGAGCAAUUCCUCCUUCAUCUGAUGCUGUGGACAAGAAGCAACAAGUGAUUUAAAUCGUUCAUAAUAUGUAGGAAAAGACUCACCUUCUUCUUGCUGAAUUCCGCUUAUCUUUUUGCGUAGGAGGAUGAUGCGAGAAGUUGGAAAGAACUUCUCCAAGAACGCUCUCUUCAUACUCUCCCAAGAAGUGACAGUGCCGGGAGCUAACUCAUAUAACCAAUCCUUGGCUUUAUCCAUCAAAGAGAAUGGAAAAGCCUUCAUCUUCAAGAUAUUUCCGUCAACAUUGACGGGAGUCAUACUAGAGCAAACUACUUCAAAUUCUUUCAAAUGUUUGUUAGGAUCUUCCAUGGACAAGCCAUGGUAUUUAGGAAUAUGAUGAAGCAAACUUGACUUUAAUUCAAACUCAUCCGUCUUACCUUGGGCAGCCAUGGGGUAUUGAAUGCACAAGGGUGCGGCAUUAUCCAAACCCGAGGCGGAAAGCUCAUUGAGUGUACGAUUGUCCAUGGCCAUGCCUUGGACUUCUUCAAAUAUCCCUGCCGUGGCUUCCUCCUCCUCUUCUUGUACGUUUUCUUUUCUUCAAGGUCAGAUUCGGAAUUGGGUGGAUGGUGUUCUUGCUGGUUUCUAGCUCUUCUUAACUUCCUCUCAAAAUCGUCGUCAAAAUCCAAGAUGUUUGUACGAAUCGGUUGAGAGCUUCUAGUCAUACAUUAGUACCUAAGAAACAAGAAACAAAAUUAGGUCAGAAACUUAAACAAAGUCAGAAACAAAGUGAAAUAAAAGAAACAAAAACAAUCCAAGGGAUUAGCAAAUUUGCUAAUCCCCGGCAACGGCGCCAAAAAUUUGAUGCGAAAUAUAUUAAGCACACAAAUUAAACCCUCUUUUUGUCAAAUUGUAGCAAAGAUGUAAGUAGGGAUCGUUCUAAACCGGGGAUUAGGAGGGAUUGCUAAACACUUGGAAACUGACUUAAAAACUCAAAAACAAGGUUUAAAACACUAAACUAGACUCAAAGAAUGCAAAAGUAAAGGUUAAAACACUUAAACAAACCUAAAACUCAAAACAGCAACUAGAAGGCUCAAAACUGCCUAAAAACCACUUUCUGGGCAGUUUGAGCACCUACACUAAUUUGAACGAAAUUUGAUGAAAACUUGAAUCAAAAUACUUAGAAACACAAAUCAAAACACUUUCUAACUAAUCUAAGACUUCAAAUUAAAGGGGGAUUUGUUUUUGGACGAAAAUUUAACAAACACAAAACAGAAACUUGAAAACUAAACAGAUUGUAAAAAACGAUUUUGGUGAAAUAGAUGGAUAAAAGGCUAGUUAGGAGGUUCUUCUCCACACAUGUCACACUUGCAAACAAAACGAUUUUCAGUUGUUCUUCCAAUAAAUUAUAAAGACUCAAUGCCCCGAAUUAACUGUGAAUUGCACUAAUUAACCCUCAGUUUUUCCAGAAUUUAUCAAGUUGGAUGAUUGCAUACGACAACUCAAAAACAUUCCCUACAAGUUCCCUACAUGAAUUGCAUAAUAGAGAUACAAGCAAGAAUCAUUACGUUCUAUGAAAAACAUAAGCAUUGACGAAGCAUUUUGUUACUAUGAAUUGCAUGAAACUUAUGCUAAGAAUUCAUUCAACGCGAUCGUUUUCAAGCGAUCUUCACACUACUUGUGAUUAUAAGAUUGUAACUAUUAGGUGAAACUCCCUCAUAAUCUAGCAUCAUAUUCAUGCAUGAAAAUUAAGCGUGCACUCUCAAUCAACAUACACAAAUAAGUUAUCAAUCAAAUAGAUGAACGAAAUUGAAUCCAUAACUCAUGAAAAUAACAACUGAAUGAAUGUAAUCGAAUCAAAUUGCAAGCAUGUACAUGGUUUCGAAUCACCCCCCAACUAAGGGGGUUUAGUUCCUCAUACUCACAACACAAAGUUUUAUUGAAUUGAAAACAUCGAAGACAUAAGAAGAUUACACCCUAAAAUGCCAAAGAAGUCUACUUUGAAUUCUGCACAGAAAGCUCCUCUUUCUUCUUCUCCUUGUUGCGGCAGAGUUGGUUUAGGGGGUUUUUGGAUGGUUUUUGGAUGACUUUGGAUGAGAGGAGAAUGAUGGAAAACUAUCUAGGGUAGGUGUAGGGCACGGCUAGGAAGGUUUGGGGUCAGAAAAUAUGGAUUUGGGUGUAGGUUGGGCUCGGCAAAGGUGAGGGAACAGGUUCUGGCGUGAAUGGAGUUUUGCUGGAUGUGUUUUUUUUGGUUUUUAGAAGGGAGUUAGGAUGGUAGGGUGGUGCGGCAAGGUGUGGGAAAGAGUUAUGGAGGUGUGGAAUGGUGUCUAAAGGUGGAGGAUGGUGGCUGGAAUGGAUCAAAGGCUGCGGCAAGAUGUGGUUUUGGUGAUGGUAGCUGCGGCAAGAGGUGGGGAAAGGGGGAGAUGACUUUCUGAUUUUAUGGAGAGGGAAGAAGAACUUCGGCAAGGUGGUUAAAACACAAAAUAUAUAAGCACCUAAAACCCUAAUGAAAUCAGAUUAGACAACAAUGGGCUAGGGUUAGGUGCGGCACUUAAGUGAACAUGGGCUAGGGUUUGUAAAAAUAGGCUUCUAGGAUGGAAAGGUGCGGCUUGGGUGUAGGAGGAAUGGACUAGGGUUUAACAUGGCAGAUUUUUAGAUGAUUAGGCCCUAGGGUUCGGCAUGGGUUGAAGGUCCACAAGGAAAUUUGGGUUUAGGUCAUCUAAAAGCCCAACGCCAAGAAUAGAAACUCUCGAAAAAUGGAAACCUCCAAGAAUAGAAAACUUCCAACUUUUAGAAACUUUGUUUGGUUGCCAAUUCCGAUUUAGAAAGAAAUCGACCAAAAUGGAAACUUUUAGGCUUUACUUCCAUCAAGUAGGAAAAACAACUCAAAACUUUCUUCAACUCUUAGCAUUCUACAUACUCAACUUUGCGUUUCAAGCCCUUCAAUCUUCAAACUUCAAUUCUAUUUCCAACUUUGCGUUCCAAGCAAUGUCCUUUUCAAAUUGCAAGCUCAAAUUUUUCCAAGCUCAAUUGUUCAUUCAUGUACGUCCGCUAAACCUGAAAACACAAGAAAGUAGCUUAAAAGACUACUUUAACAAAGAAAACAUAACAAAAAUGCAUAAGAACUAGCUAACUAAGGCGCAUAAAUAUGCUCCUAUCAUUCUUCGCCUCGUUUUAUCCAUUGUGUAGUUAAGGAUUUGCAUAAUGAUAAGGUGCAAUUCAUUACCUUUGUUUAUGCUUAUCAUUAGAAACAUUUACAAGCUUGGGAGAGGCUCAUACACCAACAAACCAUCCUUGGUGUUUAAUUGGAGACUUCAAUAAUAUUGUGGACUUCACUGAAAAGCUUGGGAGAUGCUCUAAUACUACUACCUACAUGAAUAACUUCAUUGAUUUUCUAAAUAAGAGUGACUUGAUUUCCCUAACUGCUUCCGGUGUUCCUUAUACUUGAACUAAUGGUCAUAGUGACAACACUAGAAUUUAUGAGAGUUUUGAUCGUGGUGUUGCUAAUCCUUAGUGGUUAGAGAGUUUCAUGACUUUUCUUUACAUAAUUUUCCUAUCAUUGGAUCGGAUCAUAGUCCCAUCUUACUUACUAAUAAUGUAAACCCUGUUAAAAAAAGCUCUUAUUCCUUCAAGUUUGAAGCUCUGUGGUUACGUCUGAUAGGAGCAUAUUUAUGCAACUUAGUUAGCUUGUUUCUUGGCAUUUACUUAGUUUAAUUCUAGUUAUUUUAGUACUUUAAGCUAUUUUUGUGUGUUUGUAGGUUCAAAUAACAAAGUUGGCAACAAAGUGCUAUUUGCAGCAUUUUUGGGCCAAGAUUGGAUAGUACAAGCAUGGAGACAUGAGAAUGGACGUUUUUUAAGAUUAGAAGGCUAGAAAUCAGCAUGUGUGUGUGCAAGUGUGUUGACCUACAACUACAAACAUCAUAGCUGCCAUGUGAUGACAGAAAAUGUGUUGAUUGCUAGCUGAAAUGAUGAAGAUGAACACGUCACAUGGAAGAAAUAUGGACAGCACACACACAUGCAAAGAGGAACACGGCAUAGGCAGAAAAGGUGUUGAUUGGUAGCUGAAAUGAUGAAGAGCAUGUGUUUGCAAGAGUAACAGCUGGUACAUGUGGAAAUAAAGAGAGAAAACAGCAAGAAAGACACAGCAUGGGCAAUAAAAAAUAAAGAAUGAAGGAGUGGAAAUGAUGAGUACAUGGACAACACACACAUAGGAAAGAAAGGCACGGCAUGGGUAGAGAAUGGGUUAAUUUAUGGCCGAAAUGAUGAAGAGCAUGUGUGUGUGUGAAUGUAACAGCUAGUACAUGUAGAGAUACAACAUAAAGCACGGCACAUGGGAGAAAAGAGGGCAUACACACACAUGCAAAGUGCAUGGACAGCUUGGAGGGCAGAGAGACACAUGCAAAGUGUGGAGACAUCAUUCAUACACACACAUACAAGGGGGACAAUUCUACAUGCAAGGAAAUUGGGGUCUUUUCUCUUUUAACAUUCAACCAUCCCUUCUCCUUAAACAUACACAAACCAUACCACAACAAAGCAUGACAUCUCACAAAUCCAUUCCCUUCCAUUCCUUGCCGUGAGCUCCAUGCACUACACCCAUUACAUCGUCUCAUUACCACAACACUCAUCCACUACACUCAUUACAUCCACUCAUUACCACAACACUCAUCCACUACACUCAUUACAUCCACUCAUUACCAAACAUCCAUCAACUACACCCAUUACAUCCACUCAUUACCAAACAUCCAUCCACCACACCCAUUACAUCCACUCAUUACCACAACACUCAUCACUACCACCUUAAUUAGAUGGUGGUCCUCUCCCUAGCCUAUAAAUACAUCCACCCUUCACCAUAACAAGGGAAGAAAAAAAUCAGAAAAAAAAAUCCAUCCAAAGACACUACAUUCACAUCUCACAACUCCAUACACUUACACUUUCAUUCCUUGGCCGUGAGCACCAUCCAUUCAUCCAUUCAUCCAUUCAUUUCCCAUAUAUCUCAAAACACAACUCCAUACACUCCCUUCCCUUGGCCGAGACAUUCACCAAUCCUAAAUACAUUCAUAACCUUUCCAUAUAUCCAUACACAUCCUUAGACACUUGUGCUGCAACAAGGUGGUGAAAAUGAAGGUCCUUGGCGUUUCAAGCUUGAAACUUUGAAACGUUUUAGGUGUAUUUUGUUCUUGCUUUCAAUGUCUACUUUGUUAUUUUUUGAUUUUGUUGCAAUUAUGAGUACCUAAACCCCCCUUAGUUAGGGGGAAUUCGAAACCAUGUUCAUGCUUGCAAUAUGAUUUGAUUAAUUUCAGUUGUGAUUCAUAAGUUGUGAAUUCAAUCUACUUAUCCAUUUGAAUUAAAACUGAUUUAUGUGUGUUGGUUGAGAGUGCACGCUUAAUUUUCAUGCAUAAAUCUUAUGCUAGGAUAUAAGGGAGUUUCACCUAAUCGUUAUGAACUUAUAUUCACAAGUUGUGAAGGUUGCUCGUCACAACCGUGUUAAGUAAAUUCUUGGCAUAAGUUUCAUGCAAUUCAUAGUUACAAGUGUUUAGUCCAUGCUUAUGAUUUUCAGAGAACUUAAUGAUUCUUGCGUGUAUCUCUAUUAUGCAAUUCAUGUAGGGAACUUGUGGGGAAUGCUUUGGGUUAUUGUAUGCAAUCAUCCAAUUCAAUGAAAUUAGGAAAAUCUGAGGGUUAAUUAGUGCAAUUCAUAGUUAAUCUGAGGCAUUGAGAAUUCGUAGUUUAUUGAAAAGCAACUGGAAAUCGUUUUGUUUGCAAGUGUGUCAUGUGUGGAGAAGAACCUCCUAGCUAGCCUUCCAUCCAUUCAAUUUACUCAAAUUCGUGCAAAUUUCAUUAGUUCUUUAAUUUACUUGUUUUGUUUUCAAAUUCGUCAAAACCAAAACCCCAUUUACCGUGUUGAGUCAUAUUAGUUAGAAACUGAUUUAGUUUGUGUUUUUAAGUAUUUCGAAGUUAAAACCAAAAUUCGUCCAAAAGUGUGUUAAAAUCCAAAUCUGCCCAGUUUGUGUUUUUAGGUAGAUUUGAGCGUUUUUAGCUUGUUUUGAAUUCGUUGAGUCUAGUUUAGUGUUUUUAAGUCAGUUUAUAGGUUAUUAGCAAGCCCUCCUAAUCCCCGGUCCAGAACGAUCCCUACUUACAUUCUUUACUACAAUUGAUACAAGAGGGUUUAAUUUGUGUGUUAAGUAAUUUUCGUAUCAACGUCAUCCUAAUUUUAGGAAUUUUGUCGAAAGUGCUUGGACUUGUACAAAUACUUCAAGGCUAUAAGAAAAGUUUGUUGCUUGUGCAGGGACAUUCAAGUAUUUGGUAAGGAAGUGGAACAAAGAGACCUUUGGUAAUGUCAAAGAUCGUAAAGAUAAGCUUUUAACCUCUCUCAGUGAUAUUCAAAAAAAAAUUAUGAGGGAUCAAGAUAACUCUAUAAGCAUGCAUGACGAGGUUAAAAUUAGAAGUGAGCUUAACAGAGUUUUAUAGGAAGAGGAAAUUAUGUGGGCUCAAAAAGCUAAGGUUAAGUGUGGCUUCAAUUGGGAGAUAAAGAUACUAAAUAUUUUCAAACGGUGGCUUCUAUCCGUAAGAAAAGAAAUGAUAUAAAAUCUACUAAAGACAGUAAUGGUUUCUAGUGGAAUUAUGGGGAAAAUCUAUAGCAAGUUUUUGUGCAGGAAUUUAAAUUGCGUUUUUCUUGUGAUAAUUCCCCUUCUCAGGAGACAUUAGCUACAAUGGUUGAUAUCAUAACUCCUUGCAUUGAUCAUACACAUAAUAUGCAACUACUUGAAUGUAUUUUAGAUGAGGAAAUUUGGGAAGCGAUGAAUAGCAUUGGUGUGUUAAAAGCACCCGGACUUGAUGGUCUUUGUGCUGCUUUUUACCAAGGUUGUUGGGAAGAGGUUAAAGAUACUAUUAUUCCUAUGAUUAAAGAUUUCUUUCAAAAUAAUUCAAGCCUAAGGUUUUGAUGCGUAUAUAGAUAAGCACACAAAUUAAACCCUCUUUUGUCAAAUUGUAGUAAAGAUGUAAGUAGGGAUCGUUCUAAACCGGGGAUUAGGAGGGAUUGCUAAACUCUUGAAAACUAACUCAAUAAUGUAAAAACAAAGUUUAAAACACUAAACUAGACUCAAAGAAUGUAAAAUUAAAAGUUAAAACACUUAAACAAACAUAAAACUCAAAACAGCAACCUAAUGACUCAAAACUGCCUAAAAAUCACUUUCUGGGCAGUUUUGAGAACCUAACAAGAACUUGGACGAAGUUGGAUCAAAACUUGGAUCAAAACACUUAAAAACACAAAUCAAAACACUUUCUAACUAAUCUAAGACUUCAAAAUAAAGGGGGAUUUGUUUUGGACGAAAAUUGAAAACAAAACAGAAACUUUAAAACAAAACAGAUUGUAAAACGUUUUUGGAUGAAAAGGAUGGAUAAAAGGCUAGUUAGGAGGUUCUUCUCCACACAUGUCACACUUGCAAACAAAACGAUUUUCAGUUGUUCUUCCAAUAAAUUAUGAAACUCAACACCCCAAGUUAAUUAGAUACGCUUAAAUUAACCUUCAAGUUCUCCUUAAGUUAAUGAAUUGGAUGGGAAAAACGCAUACAACAAUUCAAAGCAUUCCUCAAAGGUUCCUUACGUGAUGAGCACAAUAAAGAUACAGUCAAGAAUCAUGAAGCACGAUGAGAACUAUAAGUGUUGACGAAGCAUUCGUUACUAUGAUGAGCAUGAAACUCGUGCCAAGAAUUCAUUCAACGCGAUCGUUUUCAAGCGACCUUCACUACUUGUGAUUAUAAGAUUGUAACUAUUAGGUGAAACUCCCUCAUAAUCUAGCAUCAUAUUCAUGUAUGAAAACUAAGCGUGCACUCUCAAUCAACAUACACAAAUAAGUUAUCAAUCAAGUAGAUGAACGAAUUGAAUCCAAAACUUAUGAAAUAACAACUGAAUGUAAUCAAAUCAUAUUGCAAGCAUGAACAUGGUUUCGAAUCACCCCCCAACUAAGGGGGUUUAGUUCCUCAUACUCACAACACAAAGUUUAUUGAAUUGAAACAUUGAAAACAUAAGAAAGAUUACACCUAAAAGUUCCAGCAAUCUGCAAUAGACUAGCAAGCACAUUCAAGAGCACUCCUUCUUCUUUCUUGCUGCGGCACAAGGUAUGGAGAUGGUUUGGAUGGGUUUUGGAUGAUGGAGAAUGGUGGGAAGGUGUCUAGGAUGGGUGUAUGGCACGGCUAGGAAGGUUUGGGGUCAGAAAAUAUGGAUUUGGGUGAAGGUUGGGCACGGCAAAGGUGAGGGAAAGGUUUCUGGCGUGAAUGGAGUUGUAUGGAUGUGUGUGGAAUGUUUUGUGGCUGCAACCAAGAGGUUUAUUUAAAGGAAAACAGAAAUUAAAACCCUAGGUUGAUUAGGAAAUCAGAAAUUAAGUCUAAGGAUUCUAGAAUUAGGAAAUAAAAUCAGAAACUUAAAGGAAACCCACCAAAAGUUGCGGCAAUUACUUAAAACACAAAAGGAAUGUGUUUUAAGUCAGAUUUUGGGAAAGAAACCCUCCCCCUUGCACGGCAAGGAAGAGGAAAGGAUGAGGGAGGUGCGGCUCAUGUCUUAAGAAAGGAAACAUGUCCUAAAACUAAAGGGAAAUAGGUCUACUUGUGCGGCAAGGGUUUGGGAAAGGUCUAAGUCACCUAAAACUGAUGGGAAAGAGGAUCCCUUGCAUGGCAAGGAAGGGGGAUUAAGGGAAAGGUGCGGCAAAGGUCCUAGAGUGGUUUAGGGCCUUUGUUUGGUGUCCCAAAGUGCUUAAAAGGUAUUCAAAAUGGCUGGAAAUUAAGGACAUUUAGGAAUAGGGAAGGUCAACCAAAAUAGGAAACCUUGGCUUAACUUUCCUACUUUAAGUAGGAAUCCUUGUUGGAGUAGGAAUCCUUGUUCUUCUAGGAAUCCUCAAAUGAGUAGGAAUCCUUCUUCAAUUAGGAAUCCUUUGUUGAUUAGGAAUCCUUCUUGCAUUAGGAAACCAACUUUCUUCAAGACUUCAAUUCAUCCAUUCCUUUUGCUCCAAAAGGCUCCAAUUUGCUUCUUUUUGCACACUUUGACCUUAGAACCUGAAAACACACAAAAGUGACUUUAAACACUAAAAUAGCUAAGUAAACACAACCUAAAUGCACGAGAACAAGCCAAUUAAGUAGCAUGAAUAUGCUCCUAUCAAAUUCCCCCACACUUAGCUUUUCCUAGUCCUCGAGCAAAACAAACAAAAGAAAGGAAACAAAACGAAACAAACUAACCAAAACAAAACCUACACCUUCCAACGUUUGCCUCAGGGAUUUCCAAUGCACAUGACAUGUUAAAGAUUGUUAUCCCCACAGAUUUGAGUUCUCUUCACUCAUAAGCACAUACUUAAUUAAAGCCACUACUUACUAGUUCACAAGUAAUCAAUUAAAACAAUGCUUUGAAUGUAGUAACAUGCCUUAGAGAAUUCCCUCAAUUCCUUACAAGAUAUACACUCUAUUUUCACUCAGAUUUUCUAACUACACACCCUACACUAGUCAUAUGUGAGAAGAUUGAUGUAGAUAUGAAAACGAAUGCUCACAUAUAUGUAUCACAAAGAACGCAAUUUCUAGAGUUAAGAAGCAUAUUUAGAUAUGAUCUCAUGAAUGGAAUGCUACUACUUAGAUGCAAGAACCAGUGACACCAUAUGCUCAUACCAAAUUCAAACUCCACAAAUUGAAACACAUAACACUCAAGAUAGAAGUUAAGGGUUGUAAUGGGGCUUGGGGUGUUGGUUAACAAGGAAAGGAUAGGGAAAACAAACGUUCUUCAAGCAAUAGUAAGCAAAGCAAUGAAAUUGAGACUUAGAAUUCACUUAGAUUGCAGAAAUUAACUUUAAAACACAAGGGGAAGACUUAAACAACUCCUUAGGGCCGAAUUCAUUGUUUUGGACCCUUACUUCAACAAACCAUACUUUGGAACUCUUUUUCUCAACCUUUCAACUCUUUUUUCAAACUUUUCAUAUUUUUUUCUUCAAUUUUUCUUUUUCCACGAAAUUUUUUUUAUUUUUUAUUUUCUUUUCUUUGCCGUGCCCAUGGCACACAAUUCCUCAAAAAACACUUCCCCCACACUUAUUUUCUGCCAACAUAAAUCAAAAGGAAUUCAAUUUGAAUCAUGCUUUACUAUGCUUCAAGAACAAGGGUAAGGAUGGUCCUAAUCUAGGCUAGGUGAGGGUAAUGUGGGUUAACAAAGAAAAGGCUAAACAAGGCUCAACGGGGUUAAACUUAAACAUAUAAUGGAGUAGGGCACACGGCUUUUUGGCUAAGGUGGUGGUCACUACACAACUUCAUCUUGAAUAUGUGUUAUGCAAUUCAAUGACAUGCUUUGAAUGAAAUGGGCAUGAGUUCUAGUAUUUGGAACUAAAUGAUGAAACGCCUUCUAAGUAGCAAUCAAGCAAGGAAUAAUGAGAUCAUGCAACGACUUAGAAAACAAAGAAUGCACAGAAUUUAACUCUCCAAAUAAACGUUUAGGCUCAAGUCUCACAAGGUUGUAUCGUUAGUUUGAGUUCCUUCCUUCAAGCAUGUUACAAAAACUGAUUUUUCCUUUAUGAUUGCAUGUGAAUUCAUGAGUUAUAACCACAACUAAGCAUAAACAAAGGGUAAAUCAAACUUUCAUCCAUGUUGAUCACUCUCUUUAACAGCCAUGUAAUUACAACCCGAAUCCUCAUCAUUGUGUUGGAAGGUACCCUAAGACACAAACAAACGCACAAAAACAACUCUUUUUGGGUUUUUAAAACAAAAUUUUCAAAUGUUUAUGUGAUUUUCGGAUUUUUGCAUCAAAACACACUAAAACACACCAAAACUGCUCAAAAACACUUAAAAACAGCAAGGAACAAGUCUCCAAGUUAAGGGUGAUAAAAUCCCACGAAUUUGCAUCUAAAACACUUAGUUACCCCCCCACACUUAAAUCAAACAUUGUCCUCAAUGUUUCAAUCAUAAAACCACACUAAACAAAAAGAAACACACAAACAGCAAGUAAAUAACAAAACUGGGCAGAUUAGAAACAAGCAACAAAGUGAAGGGUUUUAGGAACGCAAAUCUGGAAUUGGAGUGAUUCCUAGGGCUUCCUUUGUUGAAUUGCAUGGGUUGCCUCCCAAGUAGCGCUUUCUUUAACGUCUUGCAGCCGGACGAAGACAUGAUCAUGCCCCAUUGGAGCCCACGGCAUCUAGUGGGAUUUCUUCCACAACAUGCUCAACAAAGUUCUCGUAGUAGGGCUUCAAUCUAUGUCCAUUCACCUUGAAUUCUUGGCCGGUUUUCAAACUUUGUAUUUGGACUGCACCAUGCACAAAAACAUUAGUGAUAACAAAUGGGCCAACCCACUUAGAACGUAACUUAUCGGGAAAUAGACGAAGACGGGAGUUAAAUAGCAACACUUUCUGCCCUAUGGAGAAUGUUUUGCCUCUAAUCAUCUUGUCAUGGAACGCCUUGGUCUUCUCCUUGUAAAUCCGGGCAUUCUCAUAAGCAUCAUGCCUAAUCUCCUCAAGCUCAUUCAAUUGGAGCUUCCUAUUGAAGGUUUUGACCGCCCAAUGUGCCUUGUGCUCAAGCUCCACGGGGAGAUGGCAUGGCUUGCCAUACACUAGCCGAAAUGGGGACAUACCUAUGGGUGUCUUGUAGGCUGUUCUAUACGCCCACAAUGCAUCCUCCAAACGCAAGCUCCAAUCUUUUCUAUUUGGCCCAACGGUCUUCUCCAAGAUUUGUUUGAUUUCUCGAUUGGAAACCUCGGCUUGGCCACUUGUUUGGGGGUGAUAAGGUGUGGAAACCUUAUGCAUCACAUUAUACUUCCUCAACAAUGCCUCAAUUGUGCGGUUGCAAAAGUGAGAUCCACCAUCACUUAUAAGCACUCUAGGCAUCCCAAAUCUAGAGAAAAUGUUAGAUUUAACGAAAUCUGCAACAACUCUAGAAUCGUUAGUUCGGGUGGCUUUAGCUACCACCCACUUCGACACAUAAUCAACAGCAAGUAAUAUGUAAGUAAAGCCAAAAGAUGUAGGAAAAGGACCCAUAAAAUCAAUACCCCACACAUCAAAGAUUUCAACAACAAGAAUAGGGGUUUGCGGCAUUUGGUCCCUUUGGCCCAAAUUUCCCGUUCUUUGACAUCUAUCACACGUCAAGCAAAACAUCCUAGCAUCUUUAAACAAUGUAGGCCAAUAAAAACCACAUUCAAGAACCUUAUGCGCUGUGCGUUGUGUGCCAAAGUGUCCACCACAUGCAUAUGAAUGGCAAAAACUCAAAAUGGAAUGAAAUUCAGAUUCAAUCACACAACGAUGCACAAUCUGAUCCGGACAGAUUUUCCACAAAUAUGGGUCAUCCCACACAUAAAACCGUGCCUCCUUUCUAAGUUUAUCACGUUGGGCCUUGCUUAGGGUGUUAGGAACUUGCUUAGAUACCAAGAAAUUGACCAAAUCGGCAUACCAAGGGGUACUUACCUUAAUGGACAGAAGUUCUUCAUCCGGAAACGUCUCAGAAAUGGGGAGGGACUCUUCUUCACGCACCAAUCUGCUCAAGUGGUUAGCGACCACGUUUUCACAACCUUUCUUGUCCCUAAUUUCAAUAUCGAACUUUUGAAGUAGGAGCAUCCAACGAAUGAGCCUUGGUUUAGCCUCCUUUUUGGUGAAAAGAUACUUCAAGGCUGCAUGGUCAGUGAAAACAAUUACUUUAGUACCAAUUAGAUAUGAUCUAAAUUUAUCUAAAGCAAAUACAACCGCCAAAAGUUCUUUUUCGGUUGUAGAAUAAUUCAAUUGAGCAUCAUUUAGAGUGCGUGAAGCAUAAUAAAUAACAUGGGAAUGUUUAUUUUUUCUUUGACCCAAAACAGCCCCAAGUGCAUAAUCCGAGGCAUCACACAUCAAUUCAAAUGGAAUGGACCAAUCCGGAGGAGUGAUGAUGGGUGCCGUGGUAAGUAGCUCCUUGAGAUGCUUGAAUGCCUUCUCACAUGCCUCGUUGAACUCAAAAGACACAUCCUUUUGGAGGAGGCGGCAUAGGGGUUGUGCAAUCUUGGAAAAGUCUUUGAUAAAUCUUCUAUAGAAUCCUGCAUGACCAAGAAACGAACGAACCUCUCUAACCGAAGUAGGAGAGGGUAAGUAACGUACAAGAUCUACUUUAGACUUAUCAACUUCAAUUCCUUUUUCAGAAAUUAUAUGACCCAAAACAAUACCUUGUUUAACCAUAAAGUGACACUUUUCCCAAUUCAACACAAGGUUUGUUUCAACACAACGUUUCAAGAUUAAAGUGAGAUUAUCCAAGCAUUUGUCAAAUGAGUCACCAAACACACUAAAAUCAUCCAUGAAUAUCUCAAUAAUCUUUUCAACAUAAUCAGAAAAUAUGCUUACCAUACACCUUUGAAACGUGGCAGGAGCAUUGCACAAGCCAAAUGGCAUGCGUCGAUAUGCAAACGUUCCAAAGGGACAAGUAAAAGUGGUCUUUUCUUGAUCAUCCGGGGCAAUGACAAUUUGGUUAUAACCUGAAUAUCCAUCAAGAAAACAAUAAAAGGAAUGACCGACUAACCUUUCCAACAUUUGGUCUAGAAACGGCAAAGGGAAGUGAUCCUUCCUUGUGGUGGCGUUUAUCUUCCUAUAAUCAAUGCACACACGCCAACCGGUUUGAAUCCUUAUGGGUACAAGCUCAUUCUCGGCAUUUUCCACAACUGUCACUCCGGAUUUCUUAGGCACACAUUGGAUAGGUGAAACCCAACGACUAUCGGAGAUGGGGUAAAUCACCCCACAAUCUAGAAGUUUGAUUAUCUCCUUUUUCACCACUUCCAUCAUUGGAGGGUUAAGACGGCGUUGAGCCUCUCUAGUUGGUUUGGCCCCCUCCUCAAGAAAUAUGUGAUGCAUACAAGUCGUAGGGCGUAUACCUUUAAUAUCGGCCAAUGUCCAACCUAGGGCAGAUUUGAACUCCUUCAACACACGCACUAGCUUCUCUUCCUCUUGUGCCGUGAGGGAUGAAGAGAUAAUGGCAGGUAGUGUCUCGUUUUCCCCUAAAAAGAUGUACUUCAAAUGGCUUGGUAAGGGUUUGAGAUCAAGUAUGGGUGCCUGAACGAUGGAUGGAAGCAACUUGUUAGUCGAAAUUGGAAUGGACUCACGGUUAAUAUACUUACCAUCAAGCUUAGGUGAGGACUCAAGGGCAGCCACAACUUCAAUUAGUUCUUCACUAGGGGGCACGGCAAGAAUGUUGUCAUUCAUGCCGUGGGUUUGCAUGAAAGCUGCCCCUUUGUUUUUGCCUUCCACGCCUUGUGUAAUGACUUUUUCAAGCACAUCCUCGUUCAAAUCUUCAAGAUAUCCCUGCGCCAAAGAGUCAACAAUAUCAAUAGAGAAACAUGAAUGAUCUUCACAAGGAUAUUAAUAGAAUCAGAAAGAUUGAAGUUAACAACUUCCCCAUCAAAUUCCAUGGACAAAGUUCCAUGAAACACAUCAAUUUUAGUCCGGGCCGUCUUCAUGAAUGGCCUUCCAAGUAGAAUGGGCAGCGAGGGUGCAUGAUCCGAUUCAUCCAUCUCAAGAACAUAGAAAUCCGCCGGAAAGAUCAAAUGGUUAACCUGCACCAAAACGUCUUCCAAAACUCCCUUUGGAUAGGCAUUAGAUCUAUCGGCCAAUUGUAUGAUAACACCAUCAUUUUUCAUUACUCCUAAGUUCAUAGAUGCAUAAAUGGAAUAUGGCAUAACGUUUAUAGAAGCACCUAAAUCAAGCAUGGCAGAUUCAAAUCUAGUGUUACCAAUGACACAAGGAAUGGUAAAACUACCCGGAUCUUUGCAUUUGGGAGGUAGUUUGCGUUGCAAGAUGGCGGACACAUUCUCACCUACCUUUACCACUUCCUUAGUCGACAUCCUCUUCCUAGUGGUACACAACUCCUUCAAGAACUUAGCAUACCUUGGGACUUGCUUGAUUGCAUCUAACAAAGGUAUGUUAACUUGAACUUUCCUAAAAGUUUCAAGGAUCCUUUUCUGCCUCUUCUUUCUUUGUUUUCAUGAACCUACUAGGAAAGGGCACAUUUAAAGGGAAAACAUUAGUAUGAACUGAAUGGGACACAUUCUUAGCCUUAUUGGCCGAAUUGGACAGAUUGGGGGCCUUAGGGACUUGCGGCAAAGGUGGAACCUCCUUUGCCGUGGGCAUGCUUGAUUCCUCCUCUUCAAGUUGCACAUUUACAUCACUUUUGGGACCUGUUUGUGAUGGUGUAGAACCUGCCCCAAUCUCUUUUCCACUUCUCAAAAGUAUUGCCUUUGCACUUUCGAAACCUCCAUUCGGAUUUGGAAUGGUGGAACUAGGGAGUUGUCCGGGAUCUCGAAACUUACCUACAAACUCGGCAAUCUGCCCUAUUUGUUUCUCAAGUUGAUCCACCCUUUUGUCUUGGUUUUGCAUAGCUUUAGCUUGAUCUUCCUGCCUAUUAGACAACUUAGUUAGUAUCUUAAGAAGUGCAUCAUUGUCAAGAGACGUACCUGAGGCACUUAGGCCGGAUUGGGCUUGAUUUUGGCCGUAAGUUUUGGGAAAGAACCCCGAGGGUUGUUGCCUAAAGCCUCCUUGGCUUUGAGGUUGUUGGGGCUCCCUCCACUUGAAAUUUGGGUGGUCUCUCCAACCGGGAUUGUAUGUAUUUGAAUAAGGAUCAUUCCUUGGUUGGUUUUGACCUUGAAACCUAAUUGCAUGGGCGCUUUCCCAUUCACCAUUUUCAAUCAACUGUGGACACUUUUCAGAGACAUGUCCUUGGAUGGAACAUACGCCACAUACAAUUGGUCCUUACAUCUUCAUGCCCUCGGCCAUCUGAGACACAAUAGAAGUAAGAUUAGCCAAUUGUGAAUGAAGAUCGGAAGUUGAACUUACCUCAUGUACUUGGUGCCGUGGGGGUCCCCUUUGGCCUACUCCUUCGUAUUGUUGAGCGUUCAACGCUCGAUUAGAGAUCAAGAUCUUGGCAGCCAUGGGUGUUU